rnacentral:misc_RNA from 1 species
UUAUCGGUUUGUUUGAUGUUACAGCCAAGGGUCUGUAGCUCAGGUGGUUAGAGCAGCGUCUUGAUUAGGCGGGGGUCGUAGGUUCAAGUCCUACCAGACCCACCAAGUUACGGGCGGCGGAGAGCGAUCUUGCCGUGAACUGCCGGAUUAGCUCAGCUGGGAGAGCACCUGCUUUCCAAGCAGGGGGUCGUCGCUUCGAUCCCGUCAUCCUGCACCAACACCUUGUGGUAGCCAAACGCAAGCAUCGAGAGAUCGGUGUUUGCGUAAGGCAUUGCCUAGACGAGUAGUAACUCGGCUGUUCUUUAACAAUAUGGAUUGUAGUAAAGGUGUCGCGGCGCGUUGAUGAGGCGCGCAAUUUAAACGCGACACUGGGUUGUGAUUGUAUCAACCAGUAUUACGAGUGAUC